AAUAGCUUCCUACCGCUAUUUAAAUUUUUAAAAUUUAUAAUUUAUAAUCUUAAAAUUAAAAUUUAUCAAUCUAAAAUUUAAAAUUUAAAUUUAAAAUUUAAAAUUAUUAUUUUUAAUUUUUAAAUUUAAAAUUUGAUAUUUUAUAUUUUUAAAUUUAGAUUUGAUCUUAAAUUUAAAAUUUACAACUUAAAAUUUUUGAAUUCGAGAUUUAAAAAUUUAAAUUUAAAUUUUGUAUUUUUGAACUUUAAUUGUUAUAUAGUUAAAUUUAGAAUUUUAAAUAUAAAAUUUAAAAAUUUUAAUUCAAAUAUAAUAAAAAGGGCAAUAUCUUUAUUUUUUAUUUAUAACUCCCACUAUUCUUCUUAUUCCAUCUCAUCUAUCCAAACAUUAUUUUUUUUAAUUCCGAGAAUAACUCAAUUUUCAUCCAAACGCAAAAUUAAUUUAUUCCAGUCUUAUACCUGAACUUAUACCUAUCCUUGAAAUAGGCAAUUCUUGCUUAUAUCCAAACCAAACGAAGCCCUUCGAUCUGAGUAUAAAUCUUUGUAUUCAUAAGUUUUCAACCGUUAGAUGAAGGGAUGUGCUGUUAGGACAACAAUGGUCCCUAUUAGGUUGAUAGUGGUCCCUUAGAGUUAAGUGGAUGGUUGGUCGAAUAAUAUGAUCUAACCGGUCGAAAUGGUCAAAAGAGUAGAUGUAACGAUCAAAAACUUAUCAGUACAAAGAGAUCUAUACUGAUAAAAAUUUAAUAGCUGGACUCUCUCUCUCUCUCUCUCUCUCUCUCUCUCUCUCUCUCUCUCUCUCUAUAUAUAUAUAUAUAUACACACACACAUAUAUAGAGUUGAGCUAGAAUACUAUUGAUAGCAAAUGGGCUCCGUUGCCACCCAUUUAUUUUCAAUGAUAGAGCCUCGAAAUUGACGAUCGACACCGUUAAAUAUGAUCUAUACCACUUGAAGUAUUUAUAAAUCAAUUUUCAAAUCUUUUCGACAUUAUUUACCUAAUGAUCAAAGUGCUUCAAAAUUUGUAAUUUUAAUGGUCGAUAUUGGGCGUUUUCUCGUUUAACGGCUGUCACGUCCUGGGGUAUCUUUUUGGAUUUAACAUUAAUGCGGAAGUGUCCAAUUUUUUUUUUUUUUGAAAAUCUUGAUCCCAGAGUAUGUUAGAUCCGCCACAAAUACAGGGAAUUCACUAUUCACACGGACAGAGUCUCCCCUAUAUUUGCACGGCGUAGCACAUGUACAAAAUACAACCACACUGUAUACAUAUCCACAUACAAUCACCACAUUACAUUCAUUCCAUCACAAGUUUACCAUAAAUCCACAUCUAUUAGUUUAAAACGUUUCCUAUUCAAAAACUUAUUUUGAAAUACUAAGAAUCAUGAAAACCAGAAAACUCUUUUUAAAACUAUUUCACACACGAAAAUUUUUUUCCUUUAAAAAUAUGCUACCACAAGGGAUAGAAAACCGUUUUCAUCUUCUAAGAAAACCAUAGUACUUUAUUCAUUUCACAAAACCACAUUUGUCCACAUAACUGAAAACCAACUAAACCAUAAAUACUAAGUCAAUUAUUUUACGA
rnacentral:lncRNA from 1 species